UACGUAGGGUGCAAGCGUUAAUCGGAAUUACUGGGCGUAAAGGGCGUGCAGGCGGUUUGUUAAGUCUAGGGUGAAAGCUCCCGGCUCAACUGGGAGAGGUCCUUGGAUACUGGCGAACUUGAGGGAUGCAGAGGAAAGUGGAAUUCCCGGUGUAGUGGUGAUAUGCGUAGAUAUCGGGAGGAACACCAGUGGCGAAGGCGGCUUUCUGGGCAUUUCCUGACGCUGAGACGCGAAAGCGUGGGGAGCGAACCGG
rnacentral:rRNA from 1 species